rnacentral:rRNA from 1 species
GCCUACGGGGCGCAGCAGUGGGGGAUAUUGCACAAUGGGGGAAACCCUGAUGCAGCGACGCCGCGUGGGUGAAGAAGCGCCUCGGCGCGUAAAGCCCUGUCAGCAGGGAAGAAAAUGACGGUACCUGAAGAAGAAGCCCCGGCUAACUACGUGCCAGCAGCCGCGGUAAUACGUAGGGGGCAAGCGUUAUCCGGAUUUACUGGGUGUAAAGGGAGCGUAGACGGCGCGGCAAGUCUGAAGUGAAAGGCAGGGGCUUAACCCCUGAACUGCUUUGGAAACUGCCAUGCUAGAGUGCUGGAGAGGUA